rnacentral:rRNA from 1 species
CCACGGUUUCUGCGACGCAGCUAACGCAUUAAGCGCCCCGCCUGGGGAGUACGAUCGCAAGAUUAAAACUCAAAGGAAUUGACGGGGCCCCGCACAAGCAGCGGAGCAUGCGGCUUAAUUCGACGCAACGCGAAGAACCUUACCAAGGCUUGACAUAUAGGGAAAAGCAGCAGAGAUGUUGUGUCCGCAAGGGCUCUAUACAGGUGGUGCAUGGUUGUCGUCAGCUCGUGUCGUGAGAUGUUGGGUUAAGUCCCGCAACGAGCGCAACCCUCGUUCUGUGUUGCCAGCAUUUAGUUGGGGACUCACAGGAGACUGCCGGGGUUAACUCGGAGGAAGGUGGGGAUGACGUCAAAUCAUCAUGCCCCUUAUGUCUUGGGCUGCACGCAUGCUACAAUGGCCGAUACAAAGGGCUGCAAUACCGCAAGGUGGAGCGAAUCCCAAAAAGUCGGUCUCAGUUCGGAUUGGGGUCUGCAACUCGACCCCAUGAAGUCGGAGUUGCUAGUAAUCGUAGAUCAGCAACGCUACGGUGAAUACGUUCCCGGGGCUUGUACACACCGCCCGUCACAUCACGAAAGUCGGUAACACCCAAAGUCAGUGGCCCAACCGCAAGGAGGGAGCUGCCAAAG